rnacentral:antisense_RNA from 1 species
CAUUGAACGAAUAAUUCGUUCUAUCGAUGUUGGAUAAAGCUAAUUCUUUAUUCAGCAUCGAUUUA